rnacentral:rRNA from 1 species
CAGCCAGGGCAAAACUGCGCAAGNCUCAUUAAAACAGUUAUAGUUUAUUGGAUNGUCCCACGUUAUUUGGAUAACUGNGGUAAUUCUAGAGCUAAUACNUGCAUAAAGACNCGACUUCUUGGAAGAGUCGUAUUUAUUAGAUACAGAACCAAUUCGGCUUGNCGAUUNUUGGAUGANUCAUAGNAAACGAACGGAGCGCAUGACUUGUGUCGGCGCUGUNUCCNUCAAGUUUCUGACCUAUCAGCUUUCGANGGUAGGGUAUUGNCCUCCCGUGGCAUUGACGGNUAACGGAAAAUUAGGGUUCGAUUCCGGAGAGGGANCCCGAAAAACGGCUACCACAUCUAAGGAAGGCAGCAGGCGCNCANAUUACCCAAUCCNUGACACAGGGAGGUAGUGACAAGAAAUAACAAANCC